rnacentral:rRNA from 1 species
UACGUAGGUGGCAAGCGUUGUCCGGAUUCACUGGGCGUAGAGCGUGUGUAGGCGGAUGCUUAAGUAGAAAGUGAAAGGUUGGUGCUCAACACUAACAUUGCUCUCUAUACUGGGUAUCUUGAGUGCCGGAGAGGAAGAUGGAACGACACGUGUAGCGGUGAAAUGCGUUGAUAUGUGUCGGAACACCAAUGGCGAAGGCAAUCUUCUGGACGGUGAGUUUUCUCUUAAAUCUGACGCUGAGACACGAAAGCCAAGGGAGCGAACAGG